rnacentral:lncRNA from 1 species
CCUUUGAGCAGCCCGCCCAACCCUGCCUCCACCCUCCCAGGCUGGACAGGGAAGGUGCUCCCUGGGGCUUCAGACCCCCCUUCUGACUCCCCCUGCAACGGGACCUCACGAAAGGAAGGGUGGAGAGAAGGAAAACAAGAGUAGAGGCCAAUUCUCCUCUUCCAAAGAACUCUGGAUCCCUAAAUGAGGCAGAAGCCUUGAACCCAGAAGUUACUCUAUCUUCAGAGGGGUCCUUAAACCUCGAAGACAUUCUCUACCUGGAGGACACAGGUGACCUUGAUGAGACACUCUAUGUGCAAGAGACUGAGAAGGCAGAGGAGGCCCUGUAUAUUGAGGAGGCCAUGCAGCCAGAUGAGGCUCUGCAUGUGGAGGAGCCUGGGAAUCCAGAGGAGACAGUGUGUGUGGAGGAAACCACGGAGCCAGAUCGGAUACAGUUUGUGGAGGGGCCCGUGGAGCCAGGAAAGCCCACAAGCCCAGAGCACGUUGUUUAUGAGGGAGAGACAGUCACAAGGGCGGAGAAAUCUAACCCUGAGGAGAGCCUCAGAGCCGAGC